CAGCAGCCGCGGGAAUACGGAGGGCGCGAGCGUUACCCGGAUUUACUGGGCGUAAAGGGCGUGUAGGCGGCCUGGGGCGUCCCAUGUGAAAGGCCACGGCUCAACCGUGGAGGAGCGUGGGAUACGCUCAGGCUAGAGGGUGGGAGAGGGUGGUGGAAUUCCCGGAGUAGCGGUGAAAUGCGCAGAUACCGGGAGGAACGCCGAUGGCGAAGGCAGCCACCUGGUCCACUUCUGACGCUGAGGCGCGAAAGCGUGGGGAGCAAACCGGAUUAGAUACCCCUGUAGUCCCUGUCUCUUAUAA
rnacentral:rRNA from 1 species